UGCAAGUCGAGCGGGCCCUUCGGGGUCAGCGGCAGACGGGUGAGUAACGCGUGGGAACGUGCCCUUCGGUUCGGAAUAACUCAGGGAAACUUGAGCUAAUACCGGAUACGCCCAUGGCCUCUGGCCCUGGGGAAAGGUUUAUCUGCCGAAGGAUCGGCCCGCGUCUGAUUAGCUAGUUGGUGAGGUUAUGGCUCACCAAGGCGACGAUCAGUAGCUGGUCUGAGAGGAUGAUCAGCCACACUGGGACUGAGACACGGCCCAGACUCCUACGGGAGGCAGCAGUGGGGAAUAUUGGACAAUGGGGGCAACCCUGAUCCAGCCAUGCCGCGUGAGUGAUGACGGCCUUAGGGUUGUAAAGCUCUUUUCUCCGGGACGAUAAUGACGGUACCGGAGGAAUAAGCCCCGGCUAACUUCGUGCCAGCAGCCGCGGUAAUACGAAGGGGGCUAGCGUUGCUCGGAAUCACUGGGCGUAAAGGGCGCGUAGGCGGCUGAUUUAGUCGAGGGUGAAAGCCCGUGGCUCAACCACGGAAUGGCCUUCGAUACUGAUUGGCUUGAGACCGGAAGAGGACAGCGGAACUGCGAGUGUAGAGGUGAAAUUCGUAGAUAUUCGCAAGAACACCAGUGGCGAAGG
rnacentral:rRNA from 1 species